rnacentral:rRNA from 1 species
AUGGAACUGUUGUCGCGCCCGCACGCCACGCACCACUCCUGUUCCCCAUCUCCCACGACUGCCAUUCUCCCACCCUCCCACACCCAAGCUGUCAUUUGCCAUGUUUUUGAAGGAUACAUGGCAACUGCCUUAUUUGUGAUUGUAAGCAUAUGGCAACUCUCUUUUUACCCGAACAUGUUAUUGUUGCCAUGUCUGUUUUGUAGCGUUACAUGGCAACUGUCUAGUGUUAGUAGGUGGCAACUCCUAAAGAUACCACCGUCACCCACAUGCCUGUCUCCUCUCCCACACACCAAAAGCCAUCAGUUGCCAUGUGUUUUGCAGGAUACAUGGCAACUCUUUUUUUACCCGCAACAUGUUUUUGCCAUGUUUUUUAGUGCUACAUGGCAACUGUCCAGUGUUAGUAUGUGGCAACUCUUAAAGUUUUCCAAAUCAUGA